GAGGGUAUAACUCAGUGGUAGAGCACGUGCUUAGCAUGCACAAGGUCCUAGAUUCAGUCCCCAGUACCUCCA
rnacentral:tRNA from 1 species